GUGCUUAACACAUGCAAGUCGAACGGUAACAGGUCUUUCGGGAUGCUGACGAGUGGCGAACGGGUGAGUAAUGUAUAGUUAAUUUGCCCCUGGAGAGGGAUAGCCACUGGAAACGGUGAUUAAUACCUCAUACUCCUUUUCACCACAAGGUGGACAGGGAAACGGUUUAUUCUGCCAAGGGAUAAGACUAUAUCCUAUCAGCUAGUUGGUGGUGUAAGAGACUACCAAGGCUAUGACGGGUAGCUGGUCUGAGAGGAUGAUCAGUCACACUGGAACUGAGACACGGUCCAGACUCCUACGGGAGGCAGCAGUGGGGAAUAUUGGGCAAUGGAGGCAACUCUGACCCAGCAACGCCGCGUGGAGGAUGACGCAUUUCGGUGUGUAAACUCCUUUUUUGUGGGAAGAUAAUGACGGUACCAUAAGAAUAAGCAUCGGCUAACUCCGUGCCAGCAGCCGCGGUAAUACGGAGGAUGCAAGCGUUACUCGGAAUCACUGGGCGUAAAGCGCAUGUAGGCGGGUAGUAAAGUCAGAAGUGAAAGCCUACGGCUUAACCGUAGAACUGCUUCUGAAACUCACUACCUAGAGUCUGGGAGGGGAGAAUGGAAUUAGUAGUGUAGGGGUAAAAUCCGUAGAGAUUACUAGGAAUACCAAAAGCGAAGGCGAUUCUCUGGAACAGUACUGACGCUGAGAUGCGAAAGCGUGGGGAGCAAACAGGAUUAGAUACCCUGGUAGUCCACGCCCUAAACGAUGAAUGUUAGUCGUUGGUGUCCUAGUGACAUCAGUGAUGCAGUUAACACAUUAAACAUUCCGCCUGGGGAGUACGGUCGCAAAAAAA
rnacentral:rRNA from 1 species